rnacentral:rRNA from 1 species
AAUCUUGCGCAAUGGGCGAAAGCCUGACGCAGCAACGCCGCGUGCGGGAUGACGGCCNNNGUGGUNGUAAACCGCUUUCAGCANGGANGAAACUGACGGUACCUGCAGAAGAAGCCCCGGCUAACUACGUGCCAGCAGCCGCGGUAAUACGUAGGGGGCAAGCGUUGUCCGGAUUCAUUGGGCGUAAAGAGCUCGUAGGCGGUUCAGUAAGUCAGGUGUUAAAGCUCCGAGCUCAACUCGGAGAGGCCAUCUGAUACUGCUGUGACUAGAAUCCAGUAGGGGAGCCUGGAAUUCCUGGUGUAGCGGUGAAAUGCGCAGAUAUCAGGAGGAACACCAGCGGCGAAGGCGGCGCUCUGGGCUGAGAUUGACGCUGAGGAGCGAAAGUGUGGGUAGCAAACAGG